rnacentral:rRNA from 1 species
CCUACGGGGGGCAGCAGUGGGGGAUAUUGCACAAUGGGGGGAACCCUGAUGCAGCGACGCCGCGUGGGUGAAGGAGUGCUUCGGAAUGUAAAGCCCUAUCGGCAGGGAAGAAGCAAGACGGUACCUGACUAAGAAGCCCCGGCUAACUACGUGCCAGCAGCCGCGGUAAUACGUAGGGGGCGAGCGUUAUCCGGAUUCACUGGGGGUAAAGGGAGCGUAGACGGCCAUGCAAGCCAGGGGUGAAAGCCCGGGGCCCAACCCCGGGACUGCCCUUGGAACUGCAUGGCUGGAGUGCCGGAGGGGCAAGCGGAAUUCCUAGUGUAGCGGUGAAAUGCGUAGAUAUUAGGAGGAACACCGGUGGCGAAGGCGGCUUGCUGGACGGUAACUGACGUUGAGGCUCGAAAGCGUGGGGAGCAAACAGGAUUAGAUACCCUUGUAGUC